UGAUUUUUUUUAAAAGCACCUGAUACAUACUUUUCUUCUUAUUCUUCUCCUUCUAGUCCUCUAUUCAAGGCCCACCAGAGAGACACAGGAAUGGAACUCAGAAUCACAAACAAAGAAACCUCAGUCCAAGAAAGAAAAUGAUCUUUAAAAAGACCCUCGUUUCAUGCUUGCCAAUGCUGAGACAAUCGGCUCUGGAGGAUAUUUGGAGACACUGAUUAAAAGAAAUGUGGCAGCCCAAGACCCAAGCAAGGAUAGGAUUUCCCAGACAUUCCCGAGGGAGACAAUCCCAUGUGCUUUCCUUCUGAUGUCACAUCAGAAUCUGAAGGCUGCUAGAGAAGGGAGAGGCACAUGCAAGUGCAUCCCAUGCUGAUUGUUGUUGAAAUACCUGGAAAGAAAUUGGCAAAGACUAUCCAAGGUAUGCUAAGACAUGUCCAAACUUACAAAACAGUAGAACCUGAAUAGGAAUUUGAAGUUGUCUAUACUCUCCUCAGCCACACCCUGCCAUUUUACAGGUAUGAAAAAUACAAUUUUCAGCAAAUUAGUGAUGGAUACAAAGUAUCUGGAUGCCCAAUCCCGUAUACUUUCCAUUACCGUCUGCUUCCUAAUUGUGUGUGGAUUUCCUUGUUCUUCAGAGCCAAGGAGCAUCAACAUUUGGCUUCAGAAAUGCUGCUAAAUCCUGAAUAAACAAGAGUGAACAAGCAAGGUAGCAUUCAAGGUCUCUUACUCCUAAACGCAGUUGCAAUGCUUGUA
rnacentral:lncRNA from 1 species